CAGACUGGACUGAGGAAGCCCACAACUGGGGCUCUCAGUUUCCGGGUCCAAUCUAAGCUACCAGACCAGCUCUGCCAAACCAGAGGCCCAGAUGGGAUCUGCCACUCCAGCCACUGUGAGCAGCUUUGGUUUCAGCCCAAAUGCCAGGACUCGAGAAGUGUCGACAAGGUUGAGGGCUCUAACUUGGAUACACUUUCUUCCAGACAGCAUGUGUUACUUUUAUACAAUA
rnacentral:lncRNA from 10 species